rnacentral:rRNA from 1 species
UACGGGGGGGGGCAAGCGUUGUUCGGAAUUACUGGGCGUAAAGGGCUCGUAGGCGGUCCAUCGCGUCGGGAGUGAAAAGCUGGGGCUCCAACCCCAGUCCUGCUUCCGAUACGGGUGGACUAGAGGUAGGCAGGGGAGAACGGAAUUUCCGGUGGAGCGGUGAAAUGCGUAGAGAUCGGAAAGAACACCAACGGCGAAAGCACUCUGCUGGGCCGACACUGACACUGAGAGACGAAAGCCAGGGGAGCGAACGGG